UACGUAGGUGGCAAGCGUUGUCCGGAAUUACUGGGCGUAAAGAGCGCGCAGGCGGUCGAUCAAGUCGCGUGUGAAAGCCCCCGGCUCAACUGGGGAGGGUCACGCGAUACUGAUCGACUCGAAGGCAGGAGAGGGUAGUGGAAUUCCCGGUGUAGUGGUGAAAUGCGUAGAUAUCGGGAGGAACACCAGUGGCGAAGGCGACUACCUGGCCUGUUUCUUGACGCUGAGGCGCGAAAGCUAGGGGAGCAAACGGG
rnacentral:rRNA from 1 species